UACGUAGGGGGCAAGCGUUGUCCGGAUUCAUUGGGCGUAAAGAGCGUGUAGGCGGCCGCUUAAGUCCUGCGUGAAAUCUCGGAGCUCAACUCCGAGCGGUCGUGGGAAACUGGGCGGCUAGAGUGCGGGAGGAGGAGAGUGGAAUUCCUGGUGGUAGCGGUGGAAUGCGCAGGAAUAUCAGGAGGAACACCAAUGGCGAAGGCAGACUCGC
rnacentral:rRNA from 1 species